GCCUAAUUACAAAAUAAAACCAAAUAGUAGAUCCGAAAACAGAGUUGUAAUUAAAGUUGCGAUUUGUGCACUUUAUUUACAAGACUCAAGAGAACCAUCAUCAUUGAUCCAUAGCUCAACAAAACCCUAAUUAUGUCUACUGCUGAAAUCUUCUUGUAUGUUCAUACCAUUCUUCAAGCAAUCUGCUUUCUAGAUACGAUCCAGCCGGAGGAUACAUUGGGCCAUUGUUCAUGCCUG